rnacentral:rRNA from 1 species
AUUGAACGCUGGCGGCAGGCCUAACACAUGCAAGUCGAACGGUAACAGGAAACAGCUUGCUGUUUCGCUGACGAGUGGCAGACGGGUGAGUAAUGUCUGGGAAACUGCCUGAUGGAGGGGGAUAACUACUGGAAACGGUAGCUAAUACCGCAUAACGUCGCAAGACCAAAGAGGGGGACCUUCGGGCCUCUUGCCAUCGGAUGUGCCCAGAUGGGAUUAGCUAGUAGGUGGGGUAACGGCUCACCUAGGCGACGAUCCCUAGCUGGUCUGAGAGGAUGACCAGCCACACUGGAACUGAGACACGGUCCAGACUCCUACGGGAGGCAGCAGUGGGGAAUAUUGCACAAUGGGCGCAAGCCUGAUGCAGCCAUGCCGCGUGUAUGAAGAAGGCCUUCGGGUUGUAAAGUACUUUCAGCGGGGAGGAAGGGAGUAAAGUUAAUACCUUUGCUCAUUGACGUUACCCGCAGAAGAAGCACCGGCUAACUCCGUG